ACGUUUAAUGUUCUCAGUUGGUGGCACAGGGAGAAGCAGUUUCAUUUCAGGAAAAAGUGUCCACAAUCAAAGAAUAGAAGGACUGUGGAGAGAUGUGUGGACUGCAGUGACCAGUGUGUACUAUGAUGUACUACACUAUCUUGAGGAAGCCAGCUACCUUCAUACUGCAGACCAAACACAUCUCUUCUGUUGCACUACACAUUCCUUCCAAGGCUACAAGAUGAUCUAAAUCUUUUCUGAGAUGGGUGGGAUAAUCACCCUUUACGAACAGAACACAACAUGUCUCCAAACCAGCUCUGGGAAUUGGGUCAAAUUCAUUAUCCAGUUGAUGAUCCCCGAGAUGAAGAGGAACUGAACAUUGCUGAUAUUGAUUGGGAAAGCAGUGGAUUGACUCCUGAUGAAAGUGUUGGUGUUAAUGUUCUACUGUAGAAUGUCCUCUUACACCAGAGCAACUUGCAGCACUGAAGGACACAGUGGAUCCAAGAUCAGCAUCACAAUCCCACGGGAUAGACAUUUACACGGCAUUACUUCUCCUUAGCCCAGACAUAUGUACAGUGAGACAAAACGAUGACCGCAUCUGCAUCGAAGGUGAAGCCCUCAGAGUUAGUAGUUCAUAUCAGUGUCCUUUUUGUGCAAUACAGUACAGAAUACAUCCUGUACAGUGGCGAUUUCUUUAAGACUGCAAGGGAAGCUCGACUUCCCUUAUAAUGUCACAAAAUUAAUGGUCAAAUAUGUACUAUUGUAUUAACAUUUUAUUGACUAAAAAUGCGUUAGAAAACGUUCAUCUCAAAGACGAGUUCGUUCAGAAUCAGUUACAUAUAGCAGGUCGGCUGACUCGAUUUCCUUCUCAUACAUUCCCGCAGCGUCACAGUGCAUUUCCCUAUUGAAGCCCAGCGUCCAUUGACUUCAAUGGGGCUGCUUUGAACGGUUUUUUUCAGCGCUUCGAAACUAGACGGUCAUUGGAUAAACGGUGCGAUUAUGUCCCGCC